rnacentral:rRNA from 1 species
GCCAGACUCCUACGGGAGGCAGCAGUGGGGAAUAUUGCACAAUGGAGGAAACCCUGAUGCAGCAACGCCGCGUGAGUGAAGAAGUAUUUCGAUAUGUAAAGCUCUAUCAGCAGGGAAGAAGAUGACGGUACCUGAGUAAGAAGCCCCGGCUAACUACGUGCCAGCAGCCGCGGUAAUACGUAGGGGGCAAGCGUUAUCCGGAUUUACUGGGUGUAAAGGGAGCGUAGACGGCAGGGCAAGUCUGGAGUGAAAGCCCGGGGCCCAACCCCGGGACUGCUUUGGAAACUGCCAUGCUAGAGUGCUGGAGAGGUAAGCGGAAUUCCUAGUGUAGCGGUGAAAUGCGUAGAUAUUAGGAGGAACACCAGUGGCGAAGGCGGCUUACUGGACUGUAACUGACGUUGAGGCUCGAAAGCGUGGGGAGCAAACAGGAUUAGAUACCCGCGUA